rnacentral:rRNA from 1 species
UACGUAGGGUGCGAGCGUUAAUCGGAAUUACUGGGCGUAAAGGGUGCGUAGGCGGCGCGGUAAGUCGGGUGUGAAAUCUCGGAGCUUAACUCCGAAACUGCAUUCGAUACUGCCGUGCUUGAGGACUGGAGAGGAGACUGGAAUUUACGGUGUAGCGGUGAAAUGCGUAGAGAUCAUGAGGAAGACCAGUGGCGAAGGCGGGUCUCUGGACAGUUCCUGACGCUGAGGCACGAAGGCCAGGGGAGCAAACGGG